UACGAAGGGUGCAAACGUUGCUCGGAAUUAUUGGGCGUAAAGGGCUCGUAGGCGGUUUGUCGCGUCGGGAGUGAAAACUCAGGGCUUAACCCUGAGCCUGCUUCCGAUACGGGCAGACUAGAGGUAUGCAGGGGAGAACGGAAUUCCUGGUGUAGCGGUGAAAUGCGCAGAUAUCAGGAGGAACACCGGUGGCGAAGGCGGUUCUCUGGGCAUUACCUGACGCUGAGGAGCGAAAGUGUGGGGAGCGAACAGG
rnacentral:rRNA from 1 species